rnacentral:rRNA from 1 species
UCCCGGUUGAUCCUGGCGGCGGCCACUGCUAUAGGAAUUCGAUUAAGACAUGCGAGUCGAGAGUCGUAAUGGACUCGGCGGAUUGCUCAGUAACACGUGGAUAACAUGCCCUAAGGUGGAGGAUAAUCUCGGGAAAUUGAGGAUAAUACUCCAUAGAUCACAGGAUCUGGAAUGACCUGUGGUCGAAAGUUCCGGCGCCUUAGGAUUGGUCUGCGGCCUAUCAGGUAGUAAUGGGUGUAACGGACCCACUAGCCGAUGACGGGUAUGGGCCUUGAGAGAGGGAGCCCAGAGAUGGAUUCUGAGACAAGAAUCCAGGCCCUACGGGGCGCAGCAGUCGCGAAAACUUCACACUGGGGGCAACCCCGAUGAGGGAAUUCCUAGUGCCUGCGCAAUUGCGUUUGGCUUUUCUUUAGCGUAGACAC